AAAAACACCGCUGACAUUGAUAAAUAAAUAGUGAGAUAAU
rnacentral:guide_RNA from 1 species